AUAAAUUUAAAUGACGAUCAGGUAUCCAUUAUAAAUAUCAAAAGAAAAAUCGUCACAUCUAAAGGGAUCUAAGAAAGUAAUCCAUUCUUCUAAGUUCUAACUAUCAGUUUCAUAUCAUCUACGAUAUGGGCAAGUUUUUUUGCGGUGGUCUUCUUACUACUCUUUAUCGCUCUCUCAUCAUGUUCGUCGAGUUCAAUUAUAUAUUUUUGAUCAAAUCAUGACAUUUAAUUUUUGGUUUUCCUAAAAUCUUUCCUUCAAUUUGUAGAGGAGAUUAAGCCAGCGAUUGGAGAAUUAAGUGUGCAGCAGAAAGACGGUGCUUAGAAGAUAUCAGCAAUGACUGCCACUUGAUGGAAUGUCGACAACAAUAUUUUCAAGAACCUUUUCAUGCCAGAGGCUCUGAGAUCCACGUAGCGCGCUCUACGUCAAGUCUUUCGGAAGAGAAUCGGCGAUUUAAGUAUGAGAAUCAGCAAUUUAUCUGUCAUUAACGCUCUAGAAUUGAUGGAACUGAUGCCUUUGGAAUGAGCUCGGGGCUCCCUUUUAUAAGACCUCUAGGGGCAUCAUCCUCUAGUUGGACGCGAGGUACGGUAUAAAAUGGCGAUUUGGAGGUGAAAUCGGCGAGUUCAAAGGGGAUGAUCAGUAGUUUGCCAGACUCUGGCAAUCUUGUCCUCAACUCGGUGAUUUGCCGCUCGACGAUUGGAGAGUUGACUCGGGUCUCGACGAAAACUUUAGUUCCUCUUUCGUGGGAGCUAGGAUUUAGACUACCAAAGCUGCCAAGUUAUGAUGGAAAGAUAGACCCUAUAGAUCACAUUAAUAUGUUCAGAGGGGCAAUGCAGUGGAUAACAGAUAGAGAUGACAUAUUAUGCAGGACUUUUCCAGGCACCUUAAGGGGAUCUACAUACAAAUUGUAACGACCCCCAAAAAAAAUAUAAUAUAAAUAAUUAUGUAAAUAAAAAGUUACACAAGGAGAUUCAAUAUUAAGAUCUCUUCAAUAAGUUUUAUCUAGUCAACCAACAUAACAAUCACUCUUAUUGUUAUAGAUUCAUCUAAUGGGCUAGUCGAUUAGAGCCCACCAUGCUAGUCGACUAGGGUUAGGAAUGAGAAGAGGUGGAGGCAAAUAAGAACCUUGAUUAGUUAGCACUAAUCAAUUAAAAAGAGAGUUUUGGAAAUAAAUUGAAUUAAAAUCUACAAUUUAAAUUAUAAAUUUAAUGACAAUUAAACUAGGAAAUAAUUCAAAGAAAGGAAGUUUAAAAGGUUUAAAAUAAUUCCUAAAUUAUCCUAGGCGAGUUGUAAGAUCUAGGGACAAAAAUGGAAAAUCACUAGUGGAUGAGAAACCCUUAGGAAAUACUAUAAAAGAAAGAGGAGAGAGAAGAAAUAAACUAGACCCUUGGGGCAUAUUGAAGGUAGACGAUUUCUCACUCCCUAUUCCUCUCUUUCUUUUAUGUUGGCUGGUGGUAGAGUUCUCAUGAGUGAUUAUAUGGUCGAUCCUUAAGUUAAGCUAGGCUCUUGAGGAUCUAGGAGAAAGAAGAAGAAAUCCAGAAAGAAGGUAUGGAUUCUCCUAUCCUAAGUUAAGGUUGGAAUAAAAGCAUGUGGUUAGACCUUUACUCUAACACAUAUUUUUAUAUAUUGUUCAUAUUUAAUUUCAAAAUGAUUUUUUUAUUUAUGAUUGUAUGAUUUAGAAUAAGUUGUAAACUUGAAUCAUAAAAUCGGGAGAAGAAAAAAAAACGACUCAAAUUAGAACAUAUAGGAACAUCAAGUUUAUUUGCACGUAUUCAUUAAAUUUAUUAUUUCAAGCAUGAAAUCAAUUAUACAAUGAUUAUAUGACUUCUAGUUUUGAUAUUCUUGUAUGAUUUAAACCUCAAAUAUGAAAAUCGAUCCUUAGGCCGGUUAGGAUUAUUAGGUUUAUGUCAAUAUGUCCCUAAGGUUUUAACUUAGUUUACAUCUUUUUGUCUUUAGAUGAUUGCUAUGAUUUUCGUAUGACUAAGAGUUACGAUAAGGUUAUAUGAAUUAAACCAUUAAAUAUGGAAAUCCAUCCUUAGGUUAUGUAUGAUUAGAGUUAACUAGUAAUUCAAAGUAAAGAAAAUAACAGAAAAUAUUUAAGAUGUAAUCAAUUUAAAAAUAAAAUCAAUCUUAAACUUAGAAAUUUCAUAUCUUAAGGUUCACUCACGAAAAGUAAGUAAUUGCAUGUGUAAGUCCAUCAAUUAAAUUGGGGUUUAUUAUGCUACUUUAAAAUCUUGGUAUAAAUGUAAAUCAACUUCUUUAAAAUAUUUACAAGCUAUGAUUUAUUAGUGUUUUGAUUAAAAUAGAAAUUUAUACACUUGAAUCUAACAAGGGAUAUGGGUAAAUUCUAAGAGAAUAAGUAAAGAAAUUACAUCAUAAAAUAUAAGAGAAUAAGUAAUGGAAUUACACCAAAACAUUUCCUUGGUGAGCAUGUGGCCUAAAGCCCAAGGGUUGGAAUGACCCUUGGGUUAUGAGUGGGGUCGGGUUAGUAACCUAGUGACGCACAAGAGUUCUCAGGGAGACCUUCUGCGCUCAUAUGGUCUAAUUCCGAUCUAAGUUAAGAGAGUAGGAGAGGACGAAACUAGGUUGAAUCAAGGUUUUCACCAGGGGGCCCUUGAUUCAUCUUAAGGUUCAUUCUGGGUUCACACUCACUUAGCUAGUACGUUGGGAAUGAAUGGACCAGGGAGAUGGUCGACCUGAAUCCAUAAUUGGGAGUUCGGACCUCGAUAUGAACGAGGCAAACCAAACUGAGGCCAACAAGUAAAGAAUGGAACUGGAAAAGAAAGAAAUCUGAUGGAUUGUGCCCCGACGGUCGAGUCUGGUCGAGUAUGUUGGAUCGUGAUCCGAGGCUAUAAGGGGGGAUAAUAGCCUCUUUUCGAUUUAUACAGGUUGAUUGCGGAAUUACCUGUAAACACUUAAUAAACAAAUGGUUGAACAAUAAUGAUAUAAAGAUAUUAUAACUUUGAUUGAUAUAAUAACGUAAUUAUUACUUUUCGAAGCUUACCAUAGUAUAUGAAUACUGAGUCAACUUGCUUGAUAGUGUUUUACACACAAUUAUAGUAUAUGAAUAAUAAGUUAUAUUGUAAACACAAAUUGUAUUGUAGAGUAAAUGACCAGAUAACUGGAUAUAUUGAUAAGCAAGUAAAUGACCAGAUAACUGGACAUAUUGAUAAGCAAGUAAAUGACCAGAUAACUGGAUAUAUAUGAUAAGUAAAUGCUUGAACAAAUAUAUGAAUAAGGAUUUAAAGCAAUGAAUAUAACCUCAGAUAGUUGACCAGAUAACUGGAUGAGGGAUCUGCGUAAAGUAGUCAACCUCUGUAUUUGACCAGAUAACUGGAAAAGGGAUCCUUUUCAAUUAUGUGUUGUUUAGUUGUUUUUAGAUGAAAGAUAAAAACUAAAGUUAACAAAGAACAACACAAGAGAUUUAUACUGGUUCACCCAAACAAGGGCUAAUCCAGUCCCGACCAACUGUCGAAAUUCACUCGCCUAAAGGUUAUGGCAAAACCUUAGAGUAUCAAGGAAACUCUUAAGAACCUCUCUAAGCUUUAAGGCUACUUCGCUUAGGAAUCAAUCUUUUACGGGUAGACUCACACCUUAGAGUAUCAAGGGCACUCUUAAGAACCUCUAACUUUUGUGAGUAAGUUAGUACCUUAGAGUAUCAAGGAACUCUUAAAAACCUUUCUAAGCUUUAAGGCUACUUCGCUUAGGAACUAGUUUUUUACGGGUAGACUCACACCUUAGAGUAUCAAGGGCACUCUUAAGAACCUUUAACUUUUACGGGUAAGUUAGUACCUUAGAGUAUCAAGGAACUCUUAAAAACCUAGAAAUCUUUCAAGGUAGAUUCGACCUAAGAGUUUUCCCGGAAACUCUAUAAAACCAAACUAGAGCUUUAUGGUUGAACUCGAAAACCUUUUCUCACACUUUGGUACUAUUGAGACAACCCUCUCAACCAAAGUGGACACACACAAGAGGUGAUUAGAGGAGUGGAAUAUUAAAGCAAACAACACUUCUUACUUGUAAAGAUGAACAAGAAGAUUAGAAGAAGAAGUACGGUUGGAGAGCUUUUGAAGCUUUGGAAAGCUAGGACACUUGAGAACUUGAAAGCUUGGAAGCUUGGAGGCAAAAACGUGUGGGCAAAUGUGGAGUGAAAGCUCUUGACUUUGCUUG
rnacentral:lncRNA from 1 species